rnacentral:rRNA from 1 species
UACGAAGGGGGCUAGCGUUGUUCGGAAUCACUGGGCGUAAAGGGCGCGUAGGCGGCUUUGUAAGUCGGGGGUGAAAGCCUGUGGCUCAACCACAGAAUUGCCUUCGAUACUGCAUGGCUUGAGACCGGAAGAGGUAAGUGGAACUGCGAGUGUAGAGGUGAAAUUCGUAGAUAUUCGCAAGAACACCAGUGGCGAAGGCGGCUUACUGGUCCGGUUCUGACGCUGAGGCGCGAAAGCGUGGGUAGCGAACAGG